UACAGAGGGUGCAAGCGUUGUUCGGAAUUAUUGGGCGUAAAGCGCGUGUAGGCGGCUUUGUAUGUCGGGUGUGAAAGCCCUCGCUUAACCGAGGAAGUGCGCCCGAAACUGCAGAGCUUGAGUGCCGGAGAGGGUGGCGGAACACCCGGUGUAGAGGUGAAAUUCGUAGAUAUCAGGAGGAACACCUGCGGUGUAGACGGCUUUCUGGACCAUCACUGACGCUGAGACACGAAAGCGUGGGGAGCAAACAGG
rnacentral:rRNA from 1 species